rfam:Tobacco rattle virus RNA1 134 kDa protein, 194 kDa protein, 29 kDa protein, and 16 kDa protein genes, complete cds.
AGGGGUAAAACCCCUCGCCUACGUAAGCGUUAUUACGCCC